AGCGAACGCUGGCGGCAGGCCUAACACAUGCAAGUCGAACGAACUCUUCGGAGUUAGUGGCGGACGGGUGAGUAACACGUGGGAACGUGCCCUUUGGUACGGAAUAACUCAGGGAAACUUGAGCUAAUACCGUAUGUGCCCUUCGGGGGAAAGAUUUAUCGCCAUUGGAGCGGCCCGCGUCUGAUUAGCUAGUUGGUGAGGUAACGGCUCACCAAGGCGACGAUCAGUAGCUGGUCUGAGAGGAUGACCAGCCACAUUGGGACUGAGACACGGCCCAAACUCCUACGGGAGGCAGCAGUGGGGAAUCUUGCGCAAUGGGCGAAAGCCUGACGCAGCCAUGCCGCGUGGAUGGUGAAGGUCUUAGGAUUGUAAAAUCCUUUCACCGGUGAAGAUAAUGACUGUAGCCGGAGAAGAAGCCCCGGCUAACUUCGUGCCAGCCGCCGCGGUAA
rnacentral:rRNA from 1 species